UUCCGUAGGUGAACCUGCGGAAGGAUCAUU
rnacentral:ncRNA from 61 species